rnacentral:rRNA from 1 species
AUUGGGCGUAAAGGGCACGCAGACGGUUCGGUAAGUCGAAUGGGAAAUCUUACAGCUAAACUGUAAAACUGCGUUCGAAACUACCGAACUUGAGUACUGGAGAGGUAUGCGGAAUUCCUGGUGGAGCGGUGGAAUGCGUGGAUAUCAGGAAGAACACCGGUGGCGAAGGCGGCAUACUGGCCAAGUACUGACGCUCAGGUGCGAAAGCGUGGGGAGCAAACGGGAUUAGAUACCCCGGUAGUCCACGCUGUAAACGAUGGGUACUAGGUUUUGGAGGUCUCAACCCCUUCAGAGCCGCAGCUAACGCAUUAAGUACCCCGUCUGGGGAAUACGGUCGCAAGGCUGAAACUCAAAGGAAUUGACGGGGGCCCGCACAAGCGGUGGAGCAUGUGUUUUAAUUCGAAGCAACGCGAAGAACCUUACCAGGGUAUGACAUGUGAGCUUCGACCUUCGGGAAGAGGUUAAUCCUGUGAAAGCAGGACGAAUCACACAGGUGUUGCAUGGCUGUCGUCAGCUCGUGUCGUGAGAUGUUGGGUUAAGUCCCGCAACGAGCGCAGCCCUUGCUGUUAGUUACCAUCGGGUAAUGCCGGGGACUCUAGCAGGACUGCCGGUGAUAAACCGGAGGAAGGUGGGGAUGAUGUCAAGUCAUUAUGACCCUUUACACCCUGGGCUAACCACGUGCUACAAUGGUCGGUACAAAGGGGAGCGAUACCGCGAGGUGGAGCAAAUCCCAAAAAGCCGGCCUCAGUACGGAUUGCAGUCUGCAACUCGACUGCAUGAAGCUGGAAUCGCUAGUAAUCGUGGAUCAGCAUGCCACGGCGAAUACGUUCCCGGGCCUUGUACACACCGCCCGUCAAGCCAUGGAAGUUGGUAGCACUCGAAGUCGUCGACCCAACCUAGUGAGGGAGACGCCGAAAGUGAGACUG